GCCCGGUUAGCUCAGUCGGUAGAGCGUGAGACUUUUAGUGAGAAAUCACAAGUCCGCAAUCUCAAUGUCAGGGGUUCGAGCCCCCUAUCGGGCG